CAUGCAAGUCGAACGAACUCUGGUAUUGAUUGGUGCUUGCAUCAUGAUUUACAUUUGAGUGAGUGGCGAACUGGUGAGUAACACGUGGGAAACCUGCCCAGAAGCGGGGGAUAACACCUGGAAACAGAUGCUAAUACCGCAUAACAACUUGGACCGCAUGGUCCGAGCUUGAAAGAUGGCUUCGGCUAUCACUUUUGGAUGGUCCCGCGGCGUAUUAGCUAGAUGGUGGGGUAACGGCUCACCAUGGCAAUGAUACGUAGCCGACCUGAGAGGGUAAUCGGCCACAUUGGGACUGAGACACGGCCCAAACUCCUACGGGAGGCAGCAGUAGGGAAUCUUCCACAAUGGACGAAAGUCUGAUGGAGCAACGCCGCGUGAGUGAAGAAGGGUUUCGGCUCGUAAAACUCUGUUGUUAAAGAAGAACAUAUCUGAGAGUAACUGUUCAGGUAUUGACGGUAUUUAACCAGAAAGCCACGGCUAACUACGUGCCAGCAGCCGCGGUAAUACGUAGGUGGCAAGCGUUGUCCGGAUUUAUUGGGCGUAAAGCGAGCGCAGGCGGUUUUUUAAGUCUGAUGUGAAAGCCUUCGGCUCAACCGAAGAAGUGCAUCGGAAACUGGGAAACUUGAGUGCAGAAGAGGACAGUGGAACUCCAUGUGUAGCGGUGAAAUGCGUAGAUAUAUGGAAGAACACCAGUGGCGAAGGCGGCUGUCUGGUCUGUAACUGACGCUGAGGCUCGAAAGUAUGGGUAGCAAACAGGAUUAGAUACCCUGGUAGUCCAUACCGUAAACGAUGAAUGCUAAGUGUUGGAGGGUUUCCGCCCUUCAGUGCUGCAGCUAACGCAUUAAGCAUUCCGCCUGGGGAGUACGGCCGCAAGGCUGAAACUCAAAGGAAUUGACGGGGGCCCGCACAAGCGGUGGAGCAUGUGGUUUAAUUCGAAGCUACGCGAAGAACCUUACCAGGUCUUGACAUACUAUGCAAAUCUAAGAGAUUAGACGUUCCCUUCGGGGACAUGGAUACAGGUGGUGCAUGGUUGUCGUCAGCUCGUGUCGUGAGAUGUUGGGUUAAGUCCCGCAACGAGCGCAACCCUUAUUAUCAGUUGCCAGCAUUAAGUUGGGCACUCUGGUGAGACUGCCGGUGACAAACCGGAGGAAGGUGGGGAUGACGUCAAAUCAUCAUGCCCCUUAUGACCUGGGCUACACACGUGCUACAAUGGAUGGUACAACGAGUUGCGAACUCGCGAGAGUAAGCUAAUCUCUUAAAGCCAUUCUCAGUUCGGAUUGUAGGCUGCAACUCGCCUACAUGAAGUCGGAAUCGCUAGUAAUCGCGGAUCAGCAUGCCGCGGUGAAUACGUUCCCGGGCCUUGUACACACCGCCCGUCACACCAUGAGAGUUUGUAACACCCAAAGUCGGUGGGGUAACCUUUUAGGAACCAGCCG
rnacentral:rRNA from 1 species